GGCAGCAGUGGGGAAUUUUGACAAUGGGGGAAUCCCUGAUCCAGCAAUGCCGCGUGUGUGAAGAAGGCCUCCGGGUUGUUAAGCACUUAUGUCCGGAAAGAAAACCUUUGCACUAAUACAGUGAGGGGAUGACGGUACCGGAAGAAUAAGCACCGGCUAACUACGUGCCAGCAGCCGCGGUAAUACGUAGGGUGCGAGCGUUAAUCGGAUUACUGGGC
rnacentral:rRNA from 1 species